UACGAAGGGGGGCUAGCGUUGCUCGGAAUUACUGGGCGUAAAGGGCGCGUAGGCGGAUAGUUUAGUUGGGGGUGAAAGCCCGGGGCUCAACCUCGGAAUUGCCUUCAAUACUGGCUAUCUUGAGUGUGAGAGAGGUGUGUGGAACUCCGAGUGUAGAGGUGAAAUUCGUAGAUAUUCGGAAGAACACCAGUGGCGAAGGCGACACACUGGCUCACUACUGACGCUGAGGCGCGAAAGCGUGGGGAGCAAACAGG
rnacentral:rRNA from 1 species